rnacentral:rRNA from 1 species
UAGCUGGUCUGAGAGGAUGAUCAGCCACACUGGAACUGAGACACGGUCCAGACUCCUACGGGAGGCAGCAGUGAGGAAUAUUGCGCAAUGGGGGCAACCCUGACGCAGCAACGCCGCGUGAGUGAGGAAGGUUUUCGGACCGUAAAGCUCUGUCGAGCGGGAAGAAAUGCAUGGUGGCUAAUAUCCAUCAUGCUUGACGGUACCGCUAAAGGAAGCACCGGCUAACUCCGUGCCAGCAGCCGCGGUAAUACGGGGGGUGCGAGCGUUGUUCGGAAUUAUUGGGCGUAAAGAGCGUGUAGGCGGCCGAAUAAGUCAGAUGUGAAAUCCCUGGGCUUAACCCAGGACGUGCAUUUGAAACUAUUCGGCUAGAGUAGGGGAGAGGAAAGUGGAAUUCCUGGUGUAGAGGUGAAAUUCGUAGAUAUCAGGAGGAACACCGGUGGCGAAGGCGACUUUCUGGCCCUAUACUGACGCUGAGACGCGAGAGCGUGGGUAGCAAACAGGAUUAGAUACCCUGGUAGUCCACGCUGUAAACGAUGUUCACUAGGUGUUGGGGGUAUUGACCCUCUCAGUGCCGCAGCUAACGCA